UACGUAGGGUGCAAGCGUUAUCCGGAAUUAUUGGGCGUAAAGAGCUCGUAGGCGGUCUGUCGCGUCUGCUGUGAAAUUCCGAGGCUCAACCUCGGGCUUGCAGUGGGUACGGGCAGACUAGAGUGCGGUAGGGGAGAUUGGAAUUCCUGGUGUAGCGGUGGAAUGCGCAGAUAUCAGGAGGAACACCGAUGGCGAAGGCAGAUCUCUGGGCCGUAACUGACGCUGAGGAGCGAAAGGGUGGGGAGCAAACAGG
rnacentral:rRNA from 1 species